UGAAUACGAGAUGCUACGGCGUCGAAGCAGUGUAUGUCAGACUUCCAAGAAAAGCUCGCAAUGUCAUAAAUAAAGAAUGCCUGUACCAUAACCGACACAGGUGGGUAGGUAGAGUAUACUAAGGGGCGCGAGAUAACUCUCUCUAAGGAACUCGGCAAAAUAACUCCGUAACUUCGGGAGAAGGAGUGCCUUCUUGAAGAAGGUUGCAAUAACAAGAUCCAAGCAACUGUUUAUCAAAAACACAGGUCUCCGCUAAGUCGAAAGACGAUGUAUGGGGGCUGACGCCUGCCCAGUGCCAGAAGGUUAAAGAAGCUGGUUAGCAAUAGCGAAGCUGGUGACUGAAGCCCUGGUGAACGGCGGCCGUAACUAUAACGGUCCUAAGGUAGCGAAAUUCCUUGUCGGGUAAGUUCCGACCCGCACGAAAGGCGUAAUGAUUUGGAUACUUCUCGGAGAGGGACUCGGUGAAAUAGACUUGUCUGUGAAGAUGCGGACUACCUGCACCAGGACAGAAAGACCCUAUGAAGCUUUACUGUAACUUGAAAUUGAAAUUGGACUUUAUUUGCGCAGUAUAGGUGGAAGGCGUUGAGAUUACUCUUGCGGGAUUAGUGGAGCCAUCAGUGAGAUACCACUCCUAUAAUGUUAGAUUUCUAACUUUGGAUCAUAAUCUGGUCAAAGAACAGUUUCAGGCGGGCAGUUUGACUGGGGCGGUCGCCUCCCAAAUGGUAACGGAGGCGUACAAAGGUUUCCUCUGAACGGGUAGAAAUCGUAUCUAGAGUGUAAAGGCAUAAGGAAGCUUGACUGUGAGACCUACAAGUCGAGCAGGGACGAAAGUCGGUCUUAGUGAUCUGACGGUGCUGAGUGGAAAGGCCGUCACUCAACGGAUAAAAGUUACUCUAAGGAUAACAGGCUGAUCUCCCCCAAGAGUUCACAUCGACGGGGAGGUUUGGCACCUCGAUGUCGGCUCAUCGCAUCCUGGGGCGGUAGUACGUCCCAAGGGUUGGGCUGUUCGCCCAUGAAAGCGGUACGCGAGCUGGGUUCAGAACGUCGUGAGACAGUUCGGUCCAUAUCCGGUGUAGGCGUUAGAAUAUUGAGAGGAGCCUUCUUUAGUACGAGAGGACCGAGAAGGACAUACCUCUGGUGUACCAGUUAUCGUGCCAACGGUAAACGCUGGGUAGCUAUGUAUGGAGAGGAUAACCGCUGAAAGCAUCUAAGUGGGAAGCCCACCUCAAGAUGAGUAUUCUCAC
rnacentral:rRNA from 1 species